GCUUCUGUAAUUUGUCUAAAUGUUGCAGCUGUUCUAUGUGUGGACAUGAUUUUAACUUCUAUGUUGUUGAGUGAGCCCCCGUGUUCCUGCUCGGCGUGGUGAUACAGAACUGAUGAGCUCUUCUCUUCCUUAAGUUCCCUCCAAUGUCCAUUUACCCGCUCUCCUAUGCUCCUUCCUGUUUCGACU